rnacentral:rRNA from 1 species
CGCCUCUUGUAAUUUAAAAAUAAGAGGUCCCGCCUGCCCAGUGACACUAAGUUCAACGGCCGCGGUAUUUUGACCGUGCAAAGGUAGCGCAAUCACUUGUCUUUUAAAUGAAGACCCGUAUGAAUGGCAUAACGAGGGCUUAACUGUCUCCUUUUUCAAGUCAAUGAAAUUGAUCUCCCCGUGCAGAAGCGAGGAUAACAACAUAAGACGAGAAGACCCUAUGGAGCUUUAGACACCAGAGUAGCCCUUGUCAAACACCCCCAGUAAAAGGGCAAAACCAAAAGGACCCUACUCCCCUGUCUUUGGUUGGGGCGACCGCGGGGAAUACAAAACCCCCAUGUGGAAUGGGAGAACCCCUCCUGAAACCAAGAGCCACGGCUCUAAGCAGUAGAACAUCUAACCAAAAGAUCCGGCAUGGCCGAUCAACGAACCGAGUUACCCUAGGGAUAACAGCGCAAUCCCCUUCUAGAGUCCAUAUCGACAAGGGGGUUUACGACCUCGAUGUUGGAUCAGGACAUCCUAAUGGUGCAGCCGCUAUUAAGGGUUCGUUUGUUCAACGAUUAAAGUCCUACG